rnacentral:rRNA from 1 species
CCUACGGGUGGCAGCAGUGGGGAAUAUUGGACAAUGGGGGAAACCCUGAUCCAGCGACGCCGCGUGAGUGAUGAAGUAUUUCGGUACGUUAAGCUCUAUCAGCAGGGAGGAAAAUGACGGUACCUGACUAAGAAGCCCCGCCUAACUACGUGCCAGCAGCCGCGGUAAUACGUAGGGGGCAAGCGUUAUCCGGAUUUCCUGGGGGUUAAGGGAGCGUAGACGGCAUCGCGAGUCUGGAGUGAAAUGCCGGGGCCCAACCCCGGUACUGCCGUGGAAACUGGAAAGCUGGAGUGUAGGAGAGGUAAGCGGAAUUCCUGGUGUAGCGGUGAAAUGCGUAGAUAUCAGGAGGAACACCGGCGGCGAAGGCGGCUUACUGGACUGUAACUGACGUUGAGGCUCGAAGGCGUGGGGAGCAAACAGGAUUAGAUACCCCUGUAGUC